CCAGGCAUCUACCAUCACCUGGACCAGAGACCAUGGCCCAGAAGUUUGAACGCUUUCAUCUCCAGAAACACAGCUGUGGCUGCUUUAACUGGACCAUGAUUUCAGAAAAGGCAGAAGAAUAAUCCCAGCAAGGUAAGCACCAGAGAUAACAGAUGUGUUUUCCAAAGAUUAUCCCCAAGAGACUCAGACUAAAGGUUCUAAUGGAUGCAGAUGUCCUGAAAAGCAGCAAGUUUAUCCUGUAACCUUGCCAAGCUACCACAUUUUUGGAAUAACAUUCAUGGUGAUGUCCAAAUCCUGUGAGGAUCAGAUGAAGGAACUGGACCUGUUUAGACUAUAGAAGAAAAUACCAAAGUGGGGAGGGGACUGUUAUAGUGAAAGGGAAGAAAUUAAAACAGCUAUUCUGGAUACUAAAGCCCUGUAAUGUAGAGGACAGAUGAUAUUUGUUCUUUGACUAUAGAGGACAGGACCAGGAGAAAAAGAUGCAAGUUUCCACUACCCACCAAUCAGAGCUAUACCAAAGUGGAAUGUCUUCUUCAUUAGGAGUUGAUGUGGAGACAGAACUGGUCUGAGUACUUCAGAUGGACCCUGAAGCAGGACAGAGCACAGUUAGGACCACCAGCUCUCCACCCUGAAGUUUUCGA